ACCCUCAAAUGGUGGCUUUGAAGCAGCAGAUUUUCACUCGAAUUUUCAUAAUUAUACCGUAGGGAACAGAGAAAGUUGAUGAUAAAAAUGAUGAAGUUACUAAUGACAGCAAGAUAACAGAGAGAAUUUUAACCAGAACUUUGCUGACAAACAUUGAAUUAUGAAAUGUACAUGUACAUGUACAUCAAAAAGUGUUGAUAGAAAAUAUGUGUUUCAUUUACCCAACACAUUCCCAGAGACUCAAAGUAUCUUGAGAUAUGUUAUUCCGCUUGUCAUACUGUCCCUCCCCCACCUCCUCUGGUCUCUCAUACAGAUGUGUGUUUGGUACCAAUACAAAAAGGAGAGUCAUUUCUUACUCCAACCGAUACUGUCCAGUAUAUUCUACUUCUUGUCUUGUGUUCCUAUAAGUACAAGUCAAUACUUGAUUCUGUUGAGAAGGAGAGGACCGGCCUCUCAUUGCCAUGACAGCAGAGAUCAAGUACCAGUUCCAAUGGGCCCCAGUCCCCUCAGUGUCCUCUUGAGUUAGGGUCCCUCCCUCUUGAAGAUACUCCUCUUACUCCUGAUACCUUGAGGUUCUCUUGUAUUGAUUGUUUUGACAGUUCAGUGGCUUCUGCUUCAGAUCUUAAGGAGGUACCAGCUGGGGAUAAGUCAAUGUAGUUCUUUGGAGCUGAGGUUCAGUGUUAGUCUCAGAUUAGCUGGAGGGUGUUUGUGUCAGCUGUUAGUUGAUCACAAAUCAAUUCUUAGUAAAGUACUAGCAACUAUUGAUUGGAGAAACCUUCUAAGUGAUGCUCCAUUGAAACUAGCAGAAGCUAACAGCACUGUUGAAAUUACAAUGUUACUGUACUCUCAGGAGUGGCAGACAUCUUUACAGAAAACAGUUGCUGUAUAUUUCACAUCACUAAUCACAGAAGGACGGUAAUCAAUAAUUACUUUUAAACCUCAUGUUAAUGAUGUUUGUCCUCUUGUUUUUAUUUGUCUAUUUCAGUCAUGUUACUCACAUCUCUGAAUCUUUCAUUUAUAGUCUGGCAUUGAAUGUAUCACAAAGUAUCAAAUCAAUCAACUAAUUUAUUCGAAGAGUGGUUAUCAUUAUUCAUUAGUUGAUCGUAAGAUGAGGAAAGCUGGAUUACUGAGACACGCACAAAUUAACAGCAGAAGCAUUGUGGAGAAAACUGGUCAUUCUCAGGAUUCUGAUGUACUGAUUGAACUGUGCGAAUGUAUUUUAAUAUCUUUAUCAUCCCUUUUAUAAACAUU
rnacentral:misc_RNA from 1 species